rnacentral:rRNA from 1 species
GAAAACAACCCCCCAAAUUUAACCUUUUUAAAACCGGGGGAAAA